rnacentral:rRNA from 1 species
GACGAACGCUGGCGGCGUGCUUAACACAUGCAAGUCGAACGGAAAGGCCCUGCUUUUGUGGGGUGCUCGAGUGGCGAACGGGUGAGUAACACGUGAGUAACCUGCCCUUGACUUUGGGAUAACUUCAGGAAACUGGGGCUAAUACCGGAUAGGAGCUCCUGCUGCAUGGUGGGGGUUGGAAAGUUUCGGCGGUUGGGGAUGGACUCGCGGCUUAUCAGCUUGUUGGUGGGGUAGUGGCUUACCAAGGCUUUGACGGGUAGCCGGCCUGAGAGGGUGACCGGCGACAUUGGGACUGAGAGACGGCCCAGAGGACGACGGGAGGCAGCAGUGGGGAAUAGUGCACAAUGGGCGGAAGCCGGAUGCAGCAACGCCGCGUGCGGGAUGAGGGCCUUCGGGUUGUAAACCGCUUUAGACUGUGACGAAGCGUGAGAGACGGUAAUGGGUAAAGAAGCACCGGAUAACUACGU